AGCCUGUGAAGGUGUGCUGUGAGGCAUGCUGGAGGUAUCAGAAGUGCGAAUGCUGACAUAAGUAACGAUAAAGCGGGUGAAAAGCCCGCUCGCCGGAAGACCAAGGGUUCCUGUCCAACGUUAAUCGGGGCAGGGUGAGUCGACCCCUAAGGCGAGGCCGAAAGGCGUAGUCGAUGGGAAACAGGUUAAUAUUCCUGUACUUGGUGUUACUGCGAAGGGGGGACGGAGAAGGCUAUGUUGGCCGGGCGACGGUUGUCCCGGUUUAAGCGUGUAGGCUGGUUUUCCAGGCAAAUCCGGAAAAUCAAGGCUGAGGCGUGAUGACGAGGCACUACGGUGCUGAAGCAACAAAUGCCCUGCUUCCAGGAAAAGCCUCUAAGCAUCAGGUAACAUCAAAUCGUACCCCAAACCGACACAGGUGGUCAGGUAGAGAAUACCAAGGCGCUUGAGAGAACUCGGGUGAAGGAACUAGGCAAAAUGGUGCCGUAACU
rnacentral:rRNA from 1 species